rnacentral:rRNA from 1 species
GAUGAACGCUGGCGGUAUGCUUAACACAUGCAAGUCGAACGGUCACUUCGGUGAUAGUGGCGGACGGGUGAGUAACGCGUGAGAAUCUGUCUUCAGGUCGGGGACAACAGUUAGAAAUGACUGCUAAUACCGGAUGUGCCUUUGGGUGAAAGAUUUAUUGCCUGAAAAAGAGCUCGCGUCAGAUUAGCUAGUAGGUGGUGUAAGAGACUACCUAGGCUCCGAUCUGUAGCUGGUCUGAGAGGACGAUCAGCCACACUGGAACUGAGACACGGUCCAGACUCCCACGGGAGGCAGCAGUGGGGAAUUUUCCGCAAUGGGCGAAAGCCUGACGGAGCAAUACCGCGUGAGGGACGAAGACUUUUGGGUCGUAAACCUCUUUUCUCAAGGAAGAUGAUGACGGUACUUGAGGAAUAAGCAUCGGCUAACUCUGUG